rnacentral:rRNA from 1 species
GAUGAACGCUGGCGGCGUGCCUAAUACAUGCAAGUCGAGCGAACAGACGAGGAGCUUGCUCCUCUGACGUUAGCGGCGGACGGGUGAGUAACACGUGGAUAACCUACCUAUAAGACUGGGAUAACUUCGGGAAACCGGAGCUAAUACCGGAUAAUAUAUUGAACCGCAUGGUUCAAUAGUGAAAGACGGUUUUGCUGUCACUUAUAGAUGGAUCCGCGCCGCAUUAGCUAGUUGGUAAGGUAACGGCUUACCAAGGCGACGAUGCGUAGCCGACCUGAGAGAGUGAUCGGCCACACUGGAACUGAGACACGGUCCAGACUCCUACGGGAGGCAGCAGUAGGGAAUCUUCCGCAAAGGGCGAAAGCCUGACGGAGCAACGCCGCGUGAGUGAUGAAGGUCUUCGGAUCGUAAAACUCUGUUAUUAGGGAAGAACAAAUGUGUAAGUAACUAUGCACGUCUUGACGGUACCUAAUCAGAAAGCCACGGCUAACUACGUG